CGCGUUACCCUUUGGGCGGGGACCUGGAGGGGAAUCUCUUGGAGCUGCCAGGCAGUCUGGGCGGGGAUGGGUUCCUAAGCAGCCAGAAUUGAUGUCCAAGGUGUUUAAGACCCGCUGUUUGUCCUCGAGUUUGUCCUCGACAGCAAGGAAUAUAUACACCUGCCAGCCACCUGCACUCCGGCUUUUGGGUGGUGGAAUGUAACGAUAAUUGAGGGACAAUGGUACAAAUCUACAUAAAAGUGAUGUUUCAGGACCACGGACAGUAUCACGGCGUGCUCCUCCCACCAAACGUUUUCCUUAGGCUCAGCCUAUGGAAACAAGAGAAACACUCUAAAGAAGGUAACCGCUGUGCUUGUGGAAACAAAUACUGAAUGCUGAAAGAUUUGUGCCAAACGACACGAAGUAAAAGGAAAAAGAAAAAGUAUAACGUGGACUGGAACCAGCAGGAAAGAAGUAGGCCUUUAGCUAGAUUUUGAAGAAAGAAUUGAUAAGAUUUAGAGGCAUUGCAAGACCCUAAAGUGGCUAGAUGAGAACAAUUUAGCUAGCGGAGUGCUUCAAUAAAGAACAGAAAUAUCACACUUUACGACUACACAGCAUCUUCCUGGAGGCAGAGGGCACCGCUACUUUUAAAUAUCCCAAGAAUGUGGAAAGGGCAAAGUAGUCCCAGUUAAAUGAGGUAGAACAUUCACUUUUAAGAUUGACACUUCAUUAUUAUUGUUGUUGUUGUUGUAACUUUUCAUUCUCCAU